rnacentral:rRNA from 1 species
GACGAACCGUGCGAACGUUGUUCGGAAUCACUGGGCUUAAAGGGCGCGUAGGCGGGUUCGCAAGUCUGUGGUGAAAGCCUCCAGCUUAACUGGAGAAGUGCCGUGGAUACUGCGAAUCUUGAGGAGGGUAGGGGCGUCUGGAACGGUCGGUGGAGCGGUGAAAUGCGUUGAUAUCGACCGGAACUCCGGUGGCGAAGGCGAGGCGCUGGACCCUUUCUGACGCUGAGUGCGCGAAAGCUAGGGGAGCAAACGGGG